GAGUUUGGACCUGGCUCAGGACGAACGCUGGCGGCGUGCCUAAUACAUGCAAGUCGAGCGGACAGAAGGGAGCUUGCUCCCGGAUGUUAGCGGCGGACGGGUGAGUAACACGUGGGUAACCUGCCUGUAAGACUGGGAUAACUCCGGGAAACCGGAGCUAAUACCGGAUAGUUCCUUGAACCGCAUGGUUCAAGGAUGAAAGACGGUUUCGGCUGUCACUUACAGAUGGACCCGCGGCGCAUUAGCUAGUUGGUGGGGUAAUGGCUCACCAAGGCGACGAUGCGUAGCCGACCUGAGAGGGUGAUCGGCCACACUGGGACUGAGACACGGCCCAGACUCCUACGGGAGGCAGCAGUAGGGAAUCUUCCGCAAUGGACGAAAGUCUGACGGAGCAACGCCGCGUGAGUGAUGAAGGUUUUCGGAUCGUAAAGCUCUGUUGUUAGGGAAGAACAAGUGCGAGAGUAACUGCUCGCACCUUGACGGUACCUAACCAGAAAGCCACGGCUAACUACGUGCCAGCAGCCGCGGUAAUACGUAGGUGGCAAGCGUUGUCCGGAAUUAUUGGGCGUAAAGGGCUCGCAGGCGGUUUCUUAAGUCUGAUGUGAAAGCCCCCGGCUCAACCGGGGAGGGUCAUUGGAAACUGGGAAACUUGAGUGCAGAAGAGGAGAGUGGAAUUCCACGUGUAGCGGUGAAAUGCGUAGAGAUGUGGAGGAACACCAGUGGCGAAGGCGACUCUCUGGUCUGUAACUGACGCUGAGGAGCGAAAGCGUGGGGAGCGAACAGGAUUAGAUACCCUGGUAGUCCACGCCGUAAACGAUGAGUGCUAAGUGUUAGGGGGUUUCCGCCCCUUAGUGCUGCAGCUAACGCAUUAAGCACUCCGCCUGGGGAGUACGGUCGCAAGACUGAAACUCAAAGGAAUUGACGGGGGCCCGCACAAGCGGUGGAGCAUGUGGUUUAAUUCGAAGCAACGCGAAGAACCUUACCAGGUCUUGACAUCCUCUGACAACCCUAGAGAUAGGGCUUUCCCUUCGGGGACAGAGUGACAGGUGGUGCAUGGUUGUCGUCAGCUCGUGUCGUGAGAUGUUGGGUUAAGUCCCGCAACGAGCGCAACCCUUGAUCUUAGUUGCCAGCAUUUAGUUGGGCACUCUAAGGUGACUGCCGGUGACAAACCGGAGGAAGGUGGGGAUGACGUCAAAUCAUCAUGCCCCUUAUGACCUGGGCUACACACGUGCUACAAUGGACAGAACAAAGGGCUGCGAGACCGCAAGGUUUAGCCAAUCCCAUAAAUCUGUUCUCAGUUCGGAUCGCAGUCUGCAACUCGACUGCGUGAAGCUGGAAUCGCUAGUAAUCGCGGAUCAGCAUGCCGCGGGUGAAUACGUUCCCGGGCCUUGUACACACCGCCCGUCACACCACGAGAGUUUGUAACACCCGAAGUCGGUGAGGUAACCUUUAUGGAGCCAGCCGCCGAAGGUGGGACAGAUGAUUGGGGUGAAGUCGU
rnacentral:rRNA from 1 species